rnacentral:rRNA from 1 species
CCUACGGGUGGCAGCAGUGAGGAAUAUUGGUCAAUGGACGAGAGUCUGAACCAGCCAAGUAGCGUGAAGGAUGACUGCCCUAUGGGUUGUAAACUUCUUUUAUAUGGGAAUAAAACGUUCCACGUGUGGGAUUUUGUAUGUACCAUAUGAAUAAGGAUCGGCUAACUCCGUGCCAGCAGCCGCGGUAAUACGGAGGAUCCGAGCGUUAUCCGGAUUUAUUGGGUUUAAAGGGAGCGUAGGUGAAUUGUUAAGUCAGUUGUGAAAGUUUGCGGCUCAACCGUAAAAUUGCAGUUGAAACUGGCAGUCUUGAGUACAGUAGAGGUGGGCGGAAUUCGUGGUGUAGCGGUGAAAUGCUUAGAUAUCGCGAAGAACUCCGAUUGCGAAGGCAGUUCACUGGACUGCAACUGACACUGAGGCUCGAAAGUGUGGGUAUCAAACAGGAUUAGAUACCCGUGUAGUC